rnacentral:rRNA from 1 species
UACGUAGGGUGCAAGCGUUGUCCGGAAUUAUUGGGCGUAAAGAGCUCGUAGGCGGUUUGUCGCGUCGAAUGUGAAAACCCGGGGCUCAACUCCGGGCCUGCAUUCGAUACGGGCAGACUAGAGUUCGGUAGGGGAGACUGGAAUUCCUGGUGUAGCGGUGAAAUGCGCAGAUAUCAGGAGGAACACCGGUGGCGAAGGCGGGUCUCUGGGCCGUAACUGACGCUGAGGAGCGAAAGCGUGGGGAGCGAACAGG